CCUGCCUGUUGUCAUCAGUACAGGCUGGUGGUGAGAGGAGCAACUGUGAAGGUCCUCUAUAGGAUCCCAUAGAUGGUUGGUGUUUUGGGAAGGACAUGAAAAUACCAUCAGAAAUAAGUCAGAGGUUAUUGAGAGCUUUAUGUUUCAUUAGGUGUCACGUAAUACUUUUGGUAAACACAUACAAUAGCAUGAUUAAGAGCUAGAUUGAGUUGACCAGAGAAGCAGCUGGUCCUCUAUAGCAGGGGUGGGCAAUUCCAUUCCUCGAGGGCCUGAUUGGCGUCAGAGUUUUGCCCCAGCUAACACACCUGACUCCAAUAGUCACCUAAUCAUGAUCUUCAGUUUAGAAUGCAAUUUCAAAUUAAAUCAAAGUUUAUUUGUCACGUGCGUCGUAUACAACAGGUAUUUCACCUUACAGUGAAAUGCUUACUUACAGGCUCUAACCAAUAGUGCAAAAAAGGUAUUAGGUGAACAAUAGGUAAGUAAAGAAAUAAAAACAAUAAAAAGAGAGUGAAAAAUAACAGUAGCGAGGUUACAAGAGUAGCGAGGUUAAAUACAGUAGCGAGGUUACAAGAGUAGCGAGGCUAUAACAUUAGCGAGGAUAUAACAGUAGCGAGGCUACAACAGUAGCGAGGUUAAAUACAGUAGCGAGGUUAAAUACAUUAGCGAGGUUAAAUACAGUAGCGAGGGUAUAACAGUAGCGAGGUUAAAUACAGUAGCGAGGCUAUAUACAGUAGCGAGGCUAUAACAGUAGCGAGGUUACAAGAGUAGCGAGGCUAUAACAUUAGCGAGGAUAUAACAGUAGCGAGGCUACAACAGUAGCGAGGUUAAAUACAGUAGCGAGGUUAAAUACAUUAGCGAGGUUAAAUACAGUAGCGAGGCUAUAUACAGUAGCGAGGCUAUAACAGUAGCGAGGCUAUAACAGUAGCGAGGUUAAAUACAGUAGCGAGGUUAUAACAGUAGCGAGGUAUAACAGUAGCGAGGCGAUAACAGUAGCGAGGCUAUAACAGUAGCGAGGUUAAAUACAGUAGCAAGGGUAUAUACAGUAGCGAGGCUAUAACAGUAGCGAGGCUAUAACAGUAGCGAGGCUAUAACAGUAGCGAGGCUAUAACAGUAGCGAGGUUAAAUACAUUAGCGAGGUUAAAUACAUUAGCGAGGCUAUAACAGUAGCGAGGUAUAACAGUAGCAAGGCGAUAACAGUAGCGAGGCUAUAACAGUAGCGAGGUUAAAUACAGUAGCAAGGGUAUAUACAGUAGCGAGGCUAUAACAGUAGCGAGGCUAUAACAGUAGCGAGGCUAUAACAGUAGCGAGGCUAUAACAGUAGCGAG